GAUGAAGAACGUAGCGAAAUGCGAUAAGUAGUGUGAAUUGCAGAAUUCAGUGAAUCAUCGAAUCUUUGAACGCACAUUGCGCCCUAUAGUAUUCUGUAGGGCAUGCAUGUUCGAGCGUCAUUUGUACCUUCAAGCUUUGCUUGGUGUUGGGUGUUUGUCCCCUCCCUGGUGUUUGGACUCGCCUUAAAACAAUUGGCAGCCAGUGUUUUGGUAUUGAAGCGCAGCACAAUUUGCGAUUCUGGCCUUAAAAUACUAGCGUCCAUAAGUACAUUCUCACUUUUGACCUCGGAUCAUGUAGGGAUACCCGCUGAACUUAAGCAUAUCAAUAAGCGGAGGA
rnacentral:misc_RNA from 1 species